rnacentral:rRNA from 1 species
AGAGUUUGAUUCUGGCUCAGGAUUAACGCUGGCGGUACGUCUAAUACAUGCAAGUCGAACGGAGCACUUGUGCUCAGUGGCGAACGGGUGAGUAACACGUAGGUAACCUGCCCUCAAGACGAGGAUAACAGUUGGAAACGAUUGCUAAUACUGGAUAGUAGUAGAGAUGGCAUCUGAACUACUUUAAAGGUCCUUAUGGGACUACUUGAGGAGGGGCCUGCGGCGCAUUAGUUAGUUGGUAUAGGUAACGGCUUACCAAGACGAUGAUGCGUAGCUGGACUGAGAGGUUGAACAGCCACACUGGGACUGAGAACGGCCCAGACUCCUACGGGAGGCAGCAGUAGAGAAUCUUCGGCAAUGGGGGGAACCCUGACCGAGCGAUACCGCGUGAAUGAAGAAAUACUUCGGUAUGUAAAGUUCUUUUAUAGAGGAUGAAUGAUUCGUAUAGGUAAUGAUACGGAUGUGACAGUACUUUAGGAAUAAGCCCCGGCUAACUAUGUGCCAGCAGCCGCGGUAAUACAUAGGGGGCAAGCGUUAUCCGGAAUUAUUGGGCGUAAAGGGUGCGUAGGCGGCCAUUUAAGUUUGAGGUGUAAGUUCAAGGCUCAACCUUGUGAUGCUUCAAAAACUGGAUGGCUUGAGAGAGGUAGAGGCGAGUGGAAUUCCAUGUGUAGCGGUAAAAUGCGUAAAUAUAUGGAGGAACACCAGUGGCGAAGGCGGCUUGCUGGGCCUUAUCUGACGCUGGGGCACGAAAGCGUGGGGAGCAAACAGGAUUAGAUACCCUGGUAGUCCACGCCGUAAACGAUGAGUACUAAGUGUCGGGACAACCCGGUGCUGCAGUUAACGCAUUAAGUACUCCGCCUGAGUAGUACGUGCGCAAGCAUAAAACUCAAAGGAAUUGGCGGGACCUCGCACAAGCGGUGGAUCAUGUUGUUUAAUUCGAUGAUACGCGAAGAACCUUACCAGGCCUUGACAUACCGAGCAAUGCUAUGGAGACAUAGCGGAGGUUAUCUGGGAUACAGGUGGUGCAUGGUUGUCGUCAGCUCGUGUCGUGAGAUGUUGGGUUAAGUCCCGCAACGAGCGCAACUCUUAUCGCUAAUUGCCAUCAUUAAGUUGGGGACUUUAGCGAGACUGCCAGUGACAAACUGGAGGAAGGUGGGAAUGACGUCAAAUCAUCAUGCCCCUUAUGGCCUGGGCUACAAACGUGAUACAAUGGUUGGUACAAAGGGAGGCAAAGCUGUGAGGCCAAGCGAACCCCAUAAAACCAAUCUCAGUUCGGAUUGAAGUCUGCAACUCGACUUCAUGAAGUCGGAAUCGCUAGUAAUCGUAGAUCAGAACGCUACGGUGAAUACGUUCUCGAGGUUUGCACACACCGCCCGUCAA